UUCUCUUGCUCUGUUUGGCAGUGCUGAGACCCGGAAGUGAGUACGUUUAACAUGGUUUUAAAGCGUCAGUGUCAUAAUGGCUUCCUCGAUUUCAUUGGCACAACUCUGGUCCUCAUGUUGAUGAACACCAAUAACAGACUCCAAAGACCAGGAAAUUAACAAGGCAGGCGGAGAUGAAAAAUAUUCCAUUUGCCAAGGACCAAAUUAACAACUUAUGCCAAGAUUUGGACAUGUGGUGCCACCUCUGCCAAGGAUACUGACUGUCUCUCUUGCAAAACUUCAAAAGGACAAAAUCUUUGGCAAGGUUAUUUCUCAUUUCUCAAGUGCCCAUACUUGGAACAUCCAAGACUCAGCAGAAGACUGCCCAAAUUACACCCUCCACCUUGGAACAGUUGGACACGCAUGCAACAUCCUACAGUACAACAAAUCUCAAGGAGCCAUUAGAACCCCUGUCCUCUCUCACAAACCCUACCAGCAAUACAUCACACAGACUACUUAGCAAUGUCAGCACAUACCUACCCGAUUCCAUCUCACCUUCUUCAAUUACAGAGCAGAGAGGAGAGAAUCUGCCAGUAAGCUCUCUGUCAUAAAGGGUAAUGAAGGAAUAAAAAGAUGAUGCAACACAAUCAAACACCCUCCAGUUUCUCUACCUUCACCCAACAUAUCCCUCCUACUUCAAUAGAAAUAUUCAGGUCUGGGUGUCAUAGUUAGAAAUUUCCUUUUUACAUGACUCCAAUUUUAAUUGAAUAACUUUUUAAAAAAACACACUUCUUUUUGGGCAAGGUGAAUGUUUCUGUCAGAAGACAAAAUGUACAAAAUAGAAUGUGGUAGAAAAUCAUAGUACAUCUCAAAAUAUAUUGAUCACUACCCUACCACAAACACAUAAGGACACAUUUCAUUUAACUGGUACACUCAUACCCUAACCAGUUUCUAUACAUCGAUAUUUACUGCAGACAUUGGCAGCAUGUGUAUACUAACAAUAAUUAUAAUGUCAGCCCUACUAGCAGAACAAAAGCCACCAUGUGCUCAUCCUGACCCAACACAUUUAGACAAACAAUUGUUUCAGUUAUUAAAUUUGAGUCUGAUAAACAGCCAUUUUCUUUUCAAUACUCAAAAUUACAGAUGGAAAAGACAUUUAUUCCAACUUAUGGAAACAUCAGUUUGUAAGACUUGGAAUAAAACUCCUAAUUCCCCUAAAUCAACUAAUUUAACAGCAAUAUCUUAAUCUUAAUAACUCAAAUAAUCUCACUUUAAAAACUAGCAAGUCACAAAUAAUUAUGUAUAAGAACUGAGACAACAUAAUUUAUUUGACACCCACAAGUGACUCUAGAAUAACAUAGCUAUCUGUCUAGCUAGCCAAAUAUUACAACUUUGGCUCUGAUGUAGUGUUUGGAAUAAUCUUCUUGUGCCAUUUGACCAUUUAGCUGGUUCAGGAUUUCAGAAAAGAAGGACAUGGAUAAGAGAGACAGAAGAACAGCAAAAAAGAGAAGAACUAUUGAAAGGACUCACAAGGUCAGAAACUCACCAUGAUGGACAAUUUGGACAAGGAAGUCAUUGAGCAUCAUACAGCUUAUAAAAUAUGCAUGCUGUGACUGAUAGGAAAAGCAGCCGAUUGCCCUUGGACAUUAGCUCCCCUAUCUCAAACAGAAAUCUGGCUAAUAAUUUAUUUUUAAAUUUAUGAAAUGAUAUACAAAUAGAAUAAACACUGUUUAGUGACACUGUCUAUCAUGAGCAUGAUUCAACAUAUGCAUUAAAAAUUACUGCAAUAAUGAAUUGGGUUAGAAUUUACAGUGAGCUCCAUAAUGUUUGGGACAAAUACUUAAUAAUUGUUUUUUAUUUUUUAUCUGGAUCUGUACUCCACAAUUUUAGAUUUGUAAUCAAAGUGCACAUUAUCCAUUUUUUUAAUAUGCAUUUUAGUUUCACCAUGUACAAAUUACAGCAGAUUUUUUAUAAAUAGUCCCCCUAUAUAAGGGAUUAUAAUGUUUGGGACAAACGGCAUCACAAGUUUUUCUGAUUAGUCUGCUGUGCUCAAUUGCUUCCUUAGUGCAGGUAUUAGAGAGCUUUUUGUCUCUAGUUUUAAUUAUAGCCUUUUAAUUGCCUUUAGAGACUGUUAUUCUUGUUUGCCAGCAUGAGGACCAGAGGUGUGCCAGUAAAAGACAAGGAAGCCAUUAUGAGGCUGAGAAAUAAGAAAAAAGCAGUAAGAGGCAUAGGCCAGACCUUAGACUUACCAUAAUCAACUGUUUGGAAGAUCAGUAAGAAGAAAGAGAGAACAACGUCACAUGCAGCCAAAAAUAUAGGAUUUUUGCCACUUCAGCCUAGAAUCUGAACAAAGCCAUACACUCACAAACUAAAAAAUACUACAGUAUUUAGAAGAAUACGAUCUUUUGCCUGUGAAUUUGAAAUAUGACAUGGUAUGAAUGCCAAUCAUUUUUAUAGUUGAAAUUUAAUUUCUAUCUGCACAUUAUGUAUACAUUUCUCAUAUUUUUAAACAGGAAUGUUAGAUAUCUUACCCAUGUAGAACUUCUUUAGAAAGAAGUAUUAGGAAACUAAGUUUCUUCCAAAUUGCAUCAAUAUUAGACAAAAAAGCUCAAAGGAGACAACAGAUUGCAGCUGAGUACACAUACUACAUGCUGGUACAAGUAUUCCAAUAACCAAUCAGAAUAAGACUAAGAAUAUUUAAUCCAUACCAGGAAGAUGCGAUUGUCAUAUCUGGCUGUAUACUUAUCUGCGGAAAAUGUGUAGAGCUUUUCAGAGCAGUGAUGAAAGCAUUUAGCUGAAACAUUUGUUUGCUUUUGUAUACAGUUAUUUCUGCACGUACAUCUUCAGGUUGGGCGCCAAUGUAAAAUAAACUUUUGGAUCUGUAUAAAAGGAAGCUCUGCAAACUAGAGAAAAACUCCUUACCUGUACACUUCACUGGUAUAGGCCUGAAAUAAGGAGCACUAGAGCACACUUUGCUCAGGGAAUAAGACACUGUUUGAUGAACUGGGUCGACUGAUGUUUUAUUUCUGACCAGUUGCUGCACAGUGUCCGGGUAAGGAGUGUUUAUGUAGUGGGUCCUAUUAGUAUGUGGACUUUCAUUCCGGAUGCUAAUCCUGUACCUGCCUAGGAUGUGUGUAUUAUCACCUUUGCUAUAUACUUAGAAAUUGAUCAAAACCAUUACAGUUCUUUUAAAUAUUCAUUUUUUUUAGAAACAAUGAUGAAUACGAUAAGUGUGCUGUUGUGCUCAAUAAGUAUGAGGGAGAAAAGGACACAUCCCCAGGCCCCAAAACAGUAAAUCAGUUUGGUCAAGGUUUUGUGAUAGUGCAUGCACAGUUCAAGUAUAGAUAAUGCCCCAUCCUGCCAGUGAUCAAAAUACCUACAUUGACAGAGAUAGCACAUGCUUAUGAAAAAUAAAUUAUCUUCUCAGAUGAGUUUCA